rnacentral:rRNA from 1 species
UGCCAGUGAUAAACUGGAGGAAGGUGGGGAUGACGUCAAGUCAUCAUGGCCCUUACGACCAGGGCUACACACGUGCUACAAUGGCAUAUACAAAGAGAAGCGACCUCGCGAGAGCAAGCGGACCUCAUAAAGUAUGUCGUAGUCCGGAUUGGAGUCUGCAACUCGACUCCAUGAAGUCGGAAUCGCUAGUAAUCGUAGAUCAGAAUGCUACGGUGAAUACGUUCCCGGGCCUUGUACACACCGCCCGUCACACCAUG